rnacentral:rRNA from 1 species
UACGGAGGGAGCUAGCGUUGUUCGGAAUUACUGGGCGUAAAGCGCACGUAGGCGGCUUUGUAAGUUAGAGGUGAAAGCCCGGGGCUCAACUCCGGAACUGCCUUUAAGACUGCAUCGCUUGAAUCCGGGAGAGGUGAGUGGAAUUCCGAGUGUAGAGGUGAAAUUCGUAGAUAUUCGCAAGAACACCAGUGGCGAAGGCGGCGAUCUGGGCAGAUAUUGACGCUGAGGUGCGAAAGCGUGGGGAGCAAACAGG